AGCGCGGCGGCGGUCGAGGCCGAAGCCCCGGAGCGGAGGCCCGGCCUGGCCAGGCCGAGGCGGGCGGGCGAGUGGACGGCGAGCAGGAGGCCGCAGAGCGGGAAUUCUGUGGCAAAUUUUAUUUUCUAAAAGAGCUAAGAAGACAUCAUUUUGCAAAAGAGAUGUGUUCCUGAGAAAAGAUACAUGUAAAUUUAACUUUGUAAACUCAAUCUUACUUUGCAUGGUCUCAAUUAUUCACUCUUUAAAUAACAUUUAUGGGAAAUCUUUUUUAAACUGAAGAAUCUUUGUGUAACAAGUAGUAGCCACCUAAGCAAUCAACAAGCAUUUCUUAAGUACUUUCUAUGUGUCAGAUAUUGUGCUAAGUGCUGGGGAGACAAAGAAAGGGAAAAAUGUUUAGUCCAUAAUCUCAAGGGACUCAGUGUAAUGGGACAAACAAAAUAUACACAGGAUAAAUUGGGGGUAGUCUCAGAAGGAAAUCACUGAGAUUAAGAAUUAGGAAAAGCUUUUUGUAGUAGGUGGGAUGUUAGCACAGACCUGAAGGAAGCCAGGUACUUUGCUAAGGAUUAGGGAUAAAAAGAAAGGCAAAAACAAUCCUGUCCUUCAAGGAACUCAUAUUCUAACAGAGAAGAUAACCUGUACAUAAACAGGCAUAGAGACGUUAUACACAGAGAAGAUGGAAGCUAAUUAGAGAAGGGAAGGCAUUAGCAUCUGGAGGGGUUGGGAUAAGGAAAGACUUCCUGUAGAAGGGGAGAUUUGAACCAAAUCUUGAAGGAAGUCGGGGAAAGAGUCAAGAGGUGAGGGAGCAGAUCAUUCCAGUUAUAGGGGAUAGCCAGAGAAAACUCAAAGAGACAGACUAUCUGUCUAGUUCAAGGGACUGAAAAUAGCCCAGUGUAGCUGGAUCUUAAAAUGUGUGGAGGGAAAUCAAUGUACUUUAAAUGACAAAAAGAGCACUUUAUAUUUGAUCCUUAAAAUAGGUAGUCACUGGAGUGCAUUGAGGAGGUGAUAUGGUCAGGCCUACAGCUGAAAACAAGGAUACUUCAUUUGGCUGCCUGAAUCUGUGUUUUGUUUUGUUUUGAAUAUAUUUUUAUAACUAUUUCAGUAUAAUUGUCUUUCUUUUUAGCCCUUUCUACUUUAUUUUAUGCAUUUAAAAACAUUAUCCUGGAUUUAUCAGAUUGCCAAAGAGUCCUUGAAAUAAAAAUAAAAUCUUAAGAACCCUUGAUCUAGAA
rnacentral:lncRNA from 1 species